rnacentral:lncRNA from 1 species
GAAGAAUUCCAGGAAGAUUGGAUGGUUCAUUUAUAUAGAAAGUAGGCCAAGGAGGGCUGGGGAUUUAGCUCAGUGGUUCCGGUGCCUGCCUUGCAAGCGCAAGGCUCCGAGUUCGAUCCCUGGUACCAAAAAAAAAAAAAAAAGAAAAAAAGAAAAAGACAAUGAGAAAGAGAUAAAGCUGAUAAAGCUGAGGCUAGGUGAAAACCCCUUGUCCUGAUGGGACAAAAGAGCUGGCUGGCAUCCUCAGCACCUUUGUAGUGUAGAGAUAAGGGAAACACAGGGUGAGGUCAAGGGGGAUGCCUGUGAUUGAAACAGGGAGAGCUGCUAGGGUUUGCAGGAGAUUAUGCCUGAUGGUUCUCUGGCGAAUGGGCGGGAAGGAAGAUAGGCCUCUUCUCAGCCAGGCCUUGCUCCACCAUGCCCUCUUGUCCCGUGUUCUCCUGCAGGUCCCUGCCUUGUUCUCGGGAGGAAGAAUUGAGAUGCUUGUUCCUUGUUCCACUCUGGGACCUGCCUCAUCCAUGGGAGGAGGUGUUGGGUCUGGCCAUAAUGAUCUACAGGGCAGCACUCCAAGCAUUUGUCUAUUAUAAAGCUUGUGUGAACAUUUUAGUAUACAAUUAUUUUGUAUAUUUUUGGUUAUUGGAUAAUAGGAUUUCAAUAAAAAGUGUUUAAAGUGGUUAUAAUAGUGCAUAUAUUCUAGAAAGUACUUGAAAAGGUUUUGGCAAAUGCAGCUUGCUUUUAUCAUGUUACGUGUCCACCAGGUCUUUCCAUAUUGCAUACAGAUUUAGUAAAUGAUUCUUACUCAGUGUGUGUGGUGCUAAGAAUAUUGGAAUAGCAAAUGAUUCUUAAAGAGUCAUCAGAAUUCUUCCUGGUGUGGUGGCUCAUGCAUUUGGGGAGGCCGAAGCAGGAGGAUUGCUGCAAGUUCAAGGCUAGUCUGGGUUAUACAAUAUAGUGAGACUCUGUCUCCAAAAAAAAAAAAAAUCAGUAUUCAAAUACAUUGCAAU